ACACCUACGGAAGCAGGAUAAAGACAACA
rnacentral:piRNA from 1 species